rnacentral:rRNA from 1 species
GGAUUAGAUACCCUGGUAGUCCACGCCGUAAACGAUGUCGACUUGGAGGCUGUUCCCUUGAGGAGUGGCUUCCGGAGCUAACGCGUUAAGUCGACCGCCUGGGGAGUACGGCCGCAAGGUUAAAACUCAAAUGAAUUGACGGGGGCCCGCACAAGCGGUGGAGCAUGUGGUUUAAUUCGAUGCAACGCGAAGAACCUUACCUGGCCUUGACAUCCAGAGAACUUUCCAGAGAUGGAUUGGUGCCUUCGGGAACUCUGAGACAGGUGCUGCAUGGCUGUCGUCAGCUCGUGUUGUGAAAUGUUGGGUUAAGUCCCGCAACGAGCGCAACCCUUAUCCUUUGUUGCCAGCGAUUCGGUCGGGAACUCAAAGGAGACUGCCGGUGAUAAACCGGAGGAAGGUGGGGAUGACGUCAAGUCAUCAUGGCCCUUACGGCCAGGGCUACACACGUGCUACAAUGGCGCAUACAAAGAGAAGCGACCUCGCGAGAGCAAGCGGACCUCAUAAAGUGCGUCGUAGUCCGGAUCGGAGUCUGCAACUCGACUCCGUGAAGUCGGAAUCGCUAGUAAUCGUGGAUCAGAACGCCACGGUGAAUACGUUCCCGGGCCUUGUACACACCGCCCGUCACACCAUGGGAGUGGGUUGCAAAAGAAGUAGGUAGCUUAACCUUCGGGAGGGCGCUUACCACUUUGUGAUUCAUGACUGGGGUGAAGUCGUAACAAGGUAUC